rnacentral:rRNA from 1 species
CUACGGGGUGCAGCAGUGAGGAAUAUUGCACAAUGGGGGGAACCCUGAUGCAGCAACGCCGCGUGGAGGAUGACGCAUUUCGGUGUGUAAACUCCUUUUAUAUGUCAAGAAAAUGACGGUAGCAUAUGAAUAAGCACCGGCUAACUCCGAUGCCAGCAGCCGCGGUAAUAGGGAGGGUGCAAGCGUUACUCGGAAUCACUGGGCGUAAAGGACGCGUAGGCGGGUUGGAAAGUCAGGUGUGAAAUCCUACAGCUUAACUGCAGAACUGCACUUGAAACUUCUAAUCUAGAGUAUGGGAGGGGGAGAUGGAAUUAGUGGUGUAGGGGUAAAAUCCGUAGAUAUCACUAGGAAUACCUAAAGCGAAGGCGAUCUCCUGGAACAUUACUGACGCUAAGGCGUGAAAGCGUGGGGAGCAAACAGGAUUAGAUACCCCAGUAGUC